GGGAAGUCCAGGGAAGUGAGUGAUUGGUACCAUCCCUACCAGGAAGUGGCUCUCCCACACGAACGUAUCCUCAUGAAGGAUGGGAGAGUUCCUGACAUUGCCGGACAAGGGAUAGCCCCAGCCAACCUUUUAGAGUUGAUUAAGCUUUUUUUUUUUUUUCAUUUCUUCACAUAUGUUCCUUAUGAACAUUUGUUGUUUUGUUGUCUGUUUUGAAAGUUGUAAAUAUCUAUUUUUACUUCCAGUUUCUUUGUAUUUCUCUUGAGACGUAGGUGAUUUCAAAGUAGCUGCCCAAUGUUAAUUUUCACUUUGGAGAUGUGGCACUCCUUAGUGCUGGAAAACCCUUAAUAAGUUUUCACCUUCCUUUACACUGGUCUGAAAUAUCCAGAGGGCAGCAGAAUACGCUCCACGAGAACUGCACAGGCCAGUUUGAAAGCUAGUAUUGUGGAAGUCGGCAGAAGAAGCAGCCUCUCCCGGUGGCUAAUGACAAUUCAGAAGCUCUCUGGCAUGGGCCAAAGUGAGGGAGAAGCUCACCCGCACCCCAAGUAUCCCUGUGAAGCAUGCAGCAAUUCCCCAAUUUUAAGCUGUCCUUUAAAAAACAUAAAAUACAAUUUGGCAACAGAUUAUGGAGCCCUGGAGGAAAAAUGCAUCAGAAAGUCCAGGAGAAGAGUAAAGUACAUCCAGUAAUGCUGCAAGCUGUGUGGAAAAUCAUAGCGAAUGUUGACGAACCUGAAGUUUAAAGGGAGCAGAGGUGUACCACAAGCCUCCUGAGAAGAUGCACUGUAGUCCAUCUGCCAUCAGGGCAGAAAGGAUGCCUUUACAGAAAACACAGGAUAUUGUCCUUUUGCUGGUGAGAGACCUUUGCCAAAGGUCUCUCACCAGAAGUGAGAAUACUGUAUAACUGAGUAUGCUGACUAGCAGACUGUUAACCAGAUGGACACAUUACAGUUAGAUACAGCGGUAAAAAGGAUAUUUUCGUGCCAAAGCUUCGUUUCCAUCACACCUAAUCCCAGCUUAAAAGAAUCACUAGGAAUCUGUAGCAAAUUGCCAGAAAGGUGAUGAUGAAUUUAGAUUUAAACAGGUUACGUUCUGGGAGAAAUUUCUCAAGGCCUUAGGUGCCGUGCAGAGCGUAACAAAAAUUGGAGGGCAGAUUCGGAAACAUGUUCUGGGGAAGUUACUCUCAGUUUUUAUCCGUAGCUGUAACUCUAUGUGAGCAUUCAUAUAAAUGUUAGCACUCAUUCAGGAAGGUGGGUAAGGAAUAACUUGCAUUUCAUUAAAAGAUAAUUGGUACUAGUAAAGAGCACAGCGUAGUUGGUAUUUACCUGAGGCAUGUUUUCCAGUAAAGCAAUCAGUCCUAAUCUGCUAGUAGCAGCAGAAGCAAACUUUGCUUCCCUAAAGAAUUUGUUCCACUCUGUAGGUGUUAGUGGUCCAUACCACUAAUGUAAAUAUCUUGGGCUCUUCUUUAUUUAGGGGUGUGUGAAUGUUUGUGUCAUCUGCAAAUUUUAUCGAUAGUAAUCUUCUCUUUAAUUGCAUGUCAGUGAUGGAAAUAUUCGAUAGUGUUAGUCUGUUAUCGAGACCUGCCAGAAAUGCUCUGUAUGAUGAUGAUUCCCACCAAGGGCAUUUGGAAAUCUUUCAACUAAUUUUGAAUCCAUGUAAUGUUUGGAUUGUUUGUAUUUUAUAGUGCCAC
ensembl:lncRNA